AUUGAACGCUGGCGGCAGGCCUAACACAUGCAAGUCGAACGAGUGGCGGACGGGUGAGUAAUGUCUGGGAAACUGCCCGCUGGAGGGGGAUAACUACUGGAAACGUUAGCUAAUACCGCAUACCAUCGGAUGUGCCCAGAUGGGAUUAGCUAGUAGGUGGGGUAACGGCUCACCUAGGCGACGAUCCCUAGCUGGUCUGAGAGGAUGACCAGCCACACUGGAACAUAGCCACGGUCCAGACUCCUACGGGAGGAAGCAGUGGGGAAUAUUGCACGAUGGGCGAAAGCCUGAUGCAGCCAUGCCGCGUGUAUGAAGAAGGCCUUCGGGUUGUAAAGUACUUUCGGCGGGGAGACGUUACCCGCAGAAGAAGCACCGGCUAACUCCGUGCCAGCAGCCGCGGUAAUAC
rnacentral:rRNA from 1 species